UUUGCCUACCCGGUGCGCAAGGCUUCUGAAGUGCACCUGCCGGUAACAGCGCAACACGAAUUUAAAAAAGAAGACCCUCAAUCCUUUUUCAUAUGAUUUUCUACAGAAAUGUUUGGUGAUCGACUAGGAAUGCCUUGAAGUCGAUCGCGAUCGAUUGGUUGGUAACCACUGGCCCAGUGGAAUCUCCAUGCUUUUUGUUGUUGUUGUUGUUCAGGCUUCAUCUGUGUCUUGGAAACCGCACCUAAAACCCAUGGUGGCUGUCAUUGUCUUCACACAUAGAUCAUCGUUACCAAGAAGGACAAAGCCACCGUCUGUGUGACUCCAGAUGCACGAUGGAUCAACAAAGUCAUUGUCAAGUUACAAAGUACCAACAAGAGGAAGAGAAGUGUAGAACUUCCCCAUCUCAACCAGCAUUGAGUGAAUUGGAACAGGAAUGUAUCAAGUUGGAGCUAAAUGGAAAUGUGAUACCAAUGUAAUACCAAUGUGAUACCAAUGUAAUACCAAUGUGAUACCAAUGUAAUACCAAUGUGAUGCCAAUGUGAUACCAAUGGAUUCUAUUCAAAUAUGAUUCUAAUACCAAGUGAAUUAGUUUAUUUUAAAUGAUUUCAGUAUGUAUUGAAUGUGAUUAUUUCAUGUUUUUUUUUAAUCAUGUAUUGGGUCUACCCUCGAAAAAUAAACACAACCUAUACAA